AAUGAACGCUGGCGGCAUGCCUUAUACAUGCAAGUCGAGCGACCGCAUGACCUGCCUGCCCCUCUUAAGGUCGAGGGGCAAACGUGAGUGUCAUGUAGCUGAACUUGCCUUUUGGCUGGGGUAAACUUAGCGAAAGUUACGCUAUUACCGCAUAUUCUCUGAGGCGGAAAGCUCAAUACCUUCAGGCCGUUUGGUAGACGCUCAUCCGUUGACCCGCGCCGCAUUAGCUAGUUGGAAAGGUCACGGCUUACCAAGGCAACGAUGCGUAGCCGAUCUGAGAGGGUGAUCGGCCACACUGGAACUGAGACACGGCCCAGACUCCUACGGGAGGCAGCAGUAGGGAAUCUUCCGCAAUGGGCGAAAGCCUGACGGAGCAACGCCGCGUGAGUGAUGAAGGUCUUCGGAUCGUAAAGCUCUUUUAGUAGGGAAGAAAACAUGUGUAAGUAACUAUGCACGUCAUGACGGUACCUAAACAGAAAGCCACGGCUAACUACGUG
rnacentral:rRNA from 1 species